UACGAAGGGGGCUAGCGUUGUUCGGAUUUACUGGGCGUAAAGCGCACGUAGGCGGAUCGUUAAGUCGGGGGUGAAAUCCUGGAGCUCAACUCCAGAACUGCCUUUGAUACUGAGGAGCUUGAGUCCGGGAGAGGUGAGUGGAACUGCGAGUGUAGAGGUGAAAUUCGUAGAUAUUCGCAAGAACACCAGUGGCGAAGGCGGCUCACUGGCCCGGUACUGACGCUGAGGUGCGAAAGCGUGGGGAGCAAACAGG
rnacentral:rRNA from 1 species